UUUCCCAGGCCAGCACCUCCCAGAGUAUUGGCUGCCAGACUGAGCCCCUUCCUAAAAGAUGGUUGGAACCCAACUAUCCAAGGACACUCUUAAGACUCGGGUCAGAAGCAGAGCUUCUCAGACAAGUGUGGUCUGUGAGAAUGUGUGUGGUUCUCACCUCAACACCCUUGAAGCCCCUUCCACCUAAUAAGAGGCCGCGACUGGAACUAGAGGAGGACGACGAUGAAUGGGAGGCCUCCGUUGAGAUACUGACCCUAGUCAGUCGACUGUAUCAUAAGUUCUCAAGGAAAGCUCCAAUAGCUAUUUAUCUUUGAUGUGUCUCAAAUCUGAUGUGAAUAAUAUUUCUUAUGUUUCUUAUGUUCUUUUUCUCCCCUUGCACAGACAAGCCUCACCACCAUAUGAUUUACCUAAAUACUGUAUAUUGUAUAUGAAGACUGCCUCCUCGAGUUGUUUGAGUUAUGUCCAGUGUGCAGCUCCAUGUGUGAUGUCCAGAAAACUAUACGUGGGACUUUCCUUGCUGUUGAUCAGACGUGCCACUGUUGCGAGUUCAACAGACAGUGGAAGAGUCAACCGUUCAUUGGAAGUACACCUGCAGGGAACAUUCAUCUCUCUGCGGCUGUAUAUUUUACAGGGACAUCUUUCAUGUAAAUGAAAAAGAUUUUCAAUGCAUUUGGUGUGAAGAGCAUGCGAUACCAAGGAUUCUGGAAACAUGCAACAACCUAUCUUGAACCUGCCAUUGUUUGGAAAUGGAAAAGGGUCCAGCAGGUUGGGCGCCAGCAGAGCAAGGUCAUCAUUGGAGGAGAUAUGCGGGCAGAUUCUCCAGGUCUUGGAGCAGGAAUUAAUAUCUGUGUCCACAUCUACACAUUUGCCAAUAAAUGUGUAAAUCUCACAGGGCUACAUAUCUGAAUACAGAACACAUGGAUGGAGGACCAGUUGCAGAACUACAUUUUUGUAGUUUUCUUUUGACAUUUUUGUCGUCUCUGCAGACAUGUUCAUAUCAACACAAACGAGCCUUGGUAUAAUUAUGUAUAAAUAUAACGUGUUAUGUAAGAUUCAGCUGGUUUUUAUUGUCUCAGUGUGUCGAGGACGUCGCCAUUACUCAUGAAUGUAAAUCUCUUCUUCCUCCUCAUCUGUCUCCAGUCUUCAUCACUUCCUCCUGCGGAGACUCAAACUUACACAAAGCAACGGGAAGUCAAAACGACAGACUGAUGUCAUGAAGUGGCGUAUGUAUGACACGCCAAUUUGCUUGCCAUUAUACGCCUAGAGACUAAAGGUGUGUGUCCACCGUCAACGCUUCCCAUUCAUUUCUACGGGAGCAGCCGUGCAAUGCAUUCUGGGAGCGUCGCGGGGACUUUGGAGAAGUGGGGGGCAUCGAGUGGCCAGCUCCUCAUUUGCAUGAAGUUGAAUCCGGCCAACUUUAUGCAAAUGAGGAGAAUCUGUCUUCUGAAAUGUUUCUCUCUUAAAAUGUUUUCAGAAGCUUCGGUAAGCUAUUUCCUAUAGCAGUGGUUCUCAAAUGGGGGUAUGUGUCCCCCCCCCUAGGGGUACUCUGGAGGACUGCAGGGGGUACGUGUCCCCCCCUAGGGGUACUCUGGAGGACUGCAGGGGGUAACGUGAUAUCGUUUGCAUAAUGUUCAAAGUCUGUUGUACUAGACCAUUGUACCUCUUUAUAUGGACUUUAUAUCCAUUUCUUUUUUU